rnacentral:rRNA from 1 species
UGCAAGUCGACGAUGAAGCCGCUUCGGUGGUGGAUUAGUGGCGAACGGGUGAGUAACACGUGGGCAAUCUGCCCUGCACUCUGGGACAAGCCCUGGAAACGGGGUCUAAUACCGGAUACGACACAGGAAGGCAUCUUCUCUGUGUGGAAAGCUCCGGCGGUGCAGGAUGAGCCCGCGGCCUAUCAGCUUGUUGGUGGGGUGAUGGCCUACCAAGGCGACGACGGGUAGCCGGCCUGAGAGGGCGACCGGCCACACUGGGACUGAGACACGGCCCAGACUCCUACGGGAGGCAGCAGUGGGGAAUAUUGCACAAUGGGCGAAAGCCUGAUGCAGCGACGCCGCGUGAGGGAUGACGGCCUUCGGGUUGUAAACCUCUUUCAGCAGGGAAGAAGCGCAAGUGACGGUACCUGCAGAAGAAGCACCGGCUAACUACGUGCCAGCAGCCGCGGUAAUACGUAGGGUGCGAGCGUUGUCCGGAAUUAUUGGGCGUAAAGAGCUCGUAGGCGGCUUGUCACGUCGGAUGUGAAAGCCCGGGGCUUAACCCCGGGUCUGCAUUCGAUACGGGCAGGCUAGAGUUCGGUAGGGGAGAUCGGAAUUCCUGGUGUAGCGGUGAAAUGCGCAGAUAUCAGGAGGAACACCGGUGGCGAAGGCGGAUCUCUGGGCCGAUACUGACGCUGAGGAGCGAAAGCGUGGGGAGCGAACAGGAUUAGAUACCCUG